ACAAUUGCGCCUUUUCAUUGGGCACUUAGUUCAUUAGGGUAACCGUACGUUAUAUUUAUGCCCUUGUUUUGGGAAAUUUACAAUUUUAUUCGUAGAUUGAAAGACUCAAUCCGACAUCACUGGUUUGUUAGACACAAACCAACAAUCACCGGAUCGAAAGACUCGAUCCACAAAGCUCAGCAAAAAAACAAUCAAAACAAUACAAACACUGAGAUAAUUAUUAAGCAAUUUGUGCUUGACAUUUGUAUAAUAGAUAAUCAAGCCAAGAUAACCACUAUCUGCGCCACUGAGUACUCACCUCUGCUCUGCAUUUCAAGGAGGUUAAAGAAAAAAAUCAAGCAAAGAAUUCCAGAUGAUCCCUCAAAAACCAUGGGGUUAUACAAAAAGCUACCUGUGACAGUUGGAGCUAAAUAUGACUCAACAGUGAACGUUGAUGUAACUGAUGGAAUGACCAAUGGAGCUGAAUGUAUUAUAGAAGAUAUUGGAUACAGAGUCCUGCACUCUAAGAGGCCAAGCAUUAUCUGGGUAUCUUUUUCAGAUACACAUAUAGGUAAAAAACAACGUAAAGAGUACAUACAUAUAUUUAACAGUAAAAUAGAUAAAAAGCGGACACCAGUAUUAGAAAUCACACGGCAGUUUAAAAUAUCAAACAAGAACCAGUCCCAGAUCUUAAGACAAUUUUCAUUAAGAGCAUCUGCAGCAAAGACUAUUCAUCGAUGUCAAGGUGACACACUAAACGAAUUAGUUGUUGAUCUGCCUUCAACAACUAGAGAGCACAUGCGUCACACUAAACGAAUUAGUUGUUGAUCUGCCUUCAACAACUAGAGAGCACAUGCAUUAUGUUGCCUUGAGCAGACUUAGAAAUAUAUCUGGCUUACACAUACUUAACUUGAAUGAAAAUAAAAUAUCUGUCAGUCCUAAAGUAAAAGAAGAGAUGCACAGACUUAGUUCACAACCACUAAAUACUUGUGUUUCAUCAUUAAACAUGAAAAACACUGAAACUACUUUUAGCAUCUUAUUUCAUAAUGUUAGAUCUCUCCACCUACACUUUGAAGAUGUCACAUAUGAUUAUAAUGUUCAAGCAGCUCAUCUAAAAAUAUUUGUUGAAACUACGCUUUGCAACUCAGAUCUCGAUUCCAAUUACCAACUUGGUGGGUUUAAGUUAUUUAGAAAUGAUUACAACCCUAAUACUCAGAUUAGAACAGUUUAUGGAUCUGUGGUUUAUGUAAAAAACACAGUGACUUGUCUCACGACUCCGUCUAGGUACAACAAGAAUGGUGUUGAAAUAACUGUUACAGUACUCCAACGACCAAUACAAAACUUGCACAUAAUAGUUACAAUUUCAAGCAAAUCACAGGAGUGAAAAGUUUGUCUUCAACAUCAUCUCCACAUCUUCAAGGACAUCAGAUGGCAAGUCCUACUAAGAAAAUAAAGUUUGUGCCAAGCUCACCUGUUUCACCACGCUCCUCUAGCACAACAAUCGAUUUGAUUGGAUAUGUAGAUCAUGUUACAGAUAUCCAGAAGAGCAAUCAUACACCAUCGCAAUACUUUGAUAUUUACCUUGAAUGAAUUCUCACAAAGACAGCUAUUUCUCGAUACACAGCACACCCGGAAACCAAUUUCUCUUAAAAAUUUAAAAGUUUCAAAAAGUGGCACAAUUUUUUUAAACUCUAGUACAGCUAUCCAAGAGGCGCCUCUGCAUACUUUAGAUUUCAAAUUCUCACCAGCAACGAAAGAAGUAUCAAAGAUAAGCUCUUUACUCACACUCCAAUCAUCUGGUGUUUACACAGUCAGCGGCUUGAUCCAAUGGAAAGGACCUCCCAGUACAACACAGAAAACUGGAACACCGGUUAGAGAUGCAAUGAUCACUGACAAAUCUGGAAAAAUUACCUUGUCAGUCUGGGGCUUUAACAUUGACAAAAUUCAAGAAAAUGAGUUUUAUACACUUGCAGACUGCAAGUUAAGAUAUUUUCACGGAAACUGUCUGUCUACAACACAGACAACUGAGAUAAAAGAUGCAGAGAAGCAAGACCUCUCAUCAGUUCCCUCAUAAGUUGUUGAACAGCAGUGGAUCUGCUGUCCAGAUAUAAUGAAUGUAGCUGUCAAUACAUACCCUGUAUGUAACAACAAAAGUUCUAAUCCAGCUGGGGCGCGAGUGGUGCGGUGCCUAAAUUGCAACAAGGCAAUGUUGUUAAACAACUGUUAUUUUGAAAUGAACAUCAAUAUCCACCUUGGAAAGAGUGGUAAAGUUCACAUUGUAACCGUCUUUCCGAAAGUAAUCAACAAAUUCCUGAGUGAAGACGUUUAUAAUUUCAAGGACAACACAGGUGCGCUGGAGGAAAAGCUUUUACUCCUUGAAUGUAUUGAUUUCCAGCUGUCACCAAGCCAAAAACUCGAAACCAACAUGAAAGUACACUCACUAGAAACAGACGGCACAGAACAAGCAAUGCCAGACGAACGGCAGCCAUUGUCGGAUCACUCACCAGAAACAGACCAUGCACAAUAAGCUAUGCUAGACGAAGGGCAGCCAUUGUCGGAUUUGAUACAGAAGAAAGGAGAAAAUAUGACUACCAAUCAAGAAGAUCAAGUGAAUGACGAGGAUCUCCUGGCAAUGAACAUAGAUAAUCAGUUCGAACCACAAGAAUCGGAUAAGCCAGAACCAGAAAGAGAAAAUACUGAAACGAAAAAGAAACAGCCCAUUAAAAAAAACACACGAGAAAGCAAGCAGAAGACUGUGAAACCACCAAAUGUGGAAAAGAACAAGAAAUGAACUGAUUACGCACGCUAUUACAAAGUUAUUGUUAUAGUUUAUUUAUAGUUGUGAGGCUAUGACCUCGUCAUGUUAUAUUUAUAAUAAUGGCUUCUAAUACUGGAUACUGACAUUUUACAAGUAAACCCAUAUUUUCCAGUAUUUAACUAUAGCAACACUAAUAAUUACUACCAAUAAACUACUACCAUUCUUGGUAGUUCAGAAUAAACGUUAUUUUAUAAACUAAGGGACGAACCAUCAGGACAGUAAUAGAGGUGGUCAAUGAGCAAUUCAAUAAUUCAUGUAAGGAAACCAACUUGAAGGGCAAAUUCUUAAGAAACUUUCAUACUCGUGCCAUCUGACCCAAAAAUCGUGCAUGUUCGAAACGACCCAACCCCAUCACUUUUAAAUGGUCUGUCCCAAAUAGUAUUGUUGGAAUUGAAAAACUUAGUUAUCUGAUACGUUCCAAAGUAAUAGUUGCGUUUAAGGGUACGUGUUUUAAGCCAUUUUCGUUCUAAAUGCAAAAUAGAUCUCAAAUUAUGAUUACGUUUAUAAUGAAAUAAUAACAAUAAUAAAGCAAUGAUUAUUGUUAUAAUCGGUGAUUAAUUGCCGAAAAAUCGCGCAAGAAAUAAAAUCCAGUAAUGAUAAUCUUGUAUUUGAGAAUCUGUACGCGAGAAAAAAAAUCACCUUUCCCCAAAAAAUACUGACAAAGGAAUGUCUUGCACCCCUCCCCCCAGACUAAUUACCAUGUCACGCAACACAAGUGAUAUUUUGUCAAGUAAAGUAGAGCUCGUUUAUAGGCUCAUUUCAAUAAAUUUCAACUACAUGAUGCCUUCUAGCUCUACUAUAGUGAUGGUUAACUUUAUUUUUUGUAUCUUUUGGAUCGUUAAAGUACACUCGAGCGGUUUGAGCGGUGUAUUGCAGCACUUAAGAAGUUGUAAUUGAAGUUCAUGUAGUUCACACGGAGAUGUAUUAUUGUUUAUUGAGUUCAAAAGAAACCUCCAAUCGGCCAUAAAAACGCCUCAAACAUAGGUAAGUUAGACUUUUAAACAAAACCAAGGCCGUGUAACAUUUUAAGUCGCAAGAUGUCGAUUGUUGAGGAAAAGUCAUCGGGAAGUGCCGACCUGGCUUAUCUCCAAAUCAGUCAAAUUAGCGUGAAAUUCACCAAAUCCGUUGACAGAUUUCAGAGCGCUCGCUGAAUAAGCCAAACCAAUCGUUAUUCCACGUUGAAGUAAUAUAUUUCCAGUGCACAAAACCUGAAUUUGAAGUAAUUUAAAGGUUUACCACAUGGGCAAACUUGGCGCUAAACUAGAGCUGUGAAUUUGUUGGUUGUUAAGUGCCUAUCAAACAUUCCCUUUCUUGGGGUCACGAAAACAAUUUUAAUCCGAAAGUUCAACUCGUUUUAGUUGUUGGAGGUCCAAUUGAUACAAAUUGAGUGUUAAAUCUGGAAUUGCUAUUUCAUUUGCCUCUUCGCGGGACGAGUUUUAUAAUAACAAAAUUUCGCCUCAUUUUCGGGUACCAGAAGGGCUAAAUCGAUUUUAUCGAUUUUUUCGCAAAAAUAUCGUCGAUUUGAUAAAAUAAACCCCGCAACCUUUUUAAUCUCGCUAAAAUCUUCCAGUAAACUUAAAUUAUAGGUAGACUGUUUAUUGAUUUGUGGCCACCAAUCUGCUAUUUAGCUCGAUCUUUCCUUGCCUUCGGUCUUAAGAAAUACACAGAUGAACACAAGGGACAACCUGGCGGUACUUUCCUACGUGAUGUUAGAAUACUGGAUCUUGUGAGUGUAGAUGCGGGACUUUAAAACAGCAUCCAUGGGAUGGCAGAUGUGCCCCGGACGGAGAUGGAUUUGUAUGUCCAUGCUUUUGGACCAGCGGCGGUAAAAAGCAGCAUAAAUGGAGAGCUAGACGUUAUGCUGUUUUGGAAGUCGAAUGUCAGUGAACUCCCCAACCUGUACAAAGUGGCCUCGAGGUUCUGCACAACAACACUGGGUUCUUACGAAGUGGAACGCUGCUUUCAAAGUACAACAACAUCUUCGACGAGACGCGAAUGUCAAUGGCGCCAAAUACCCUCAGGGCAUACCAUUUCCUGAACUGGAAUCUGCAAGUAAAGUGUACACUUAGAGGAGGCACACGAAGACUCCAAACGCCUUCCAAACACUCCACGUACUUAUCACUUGCAAGUAAAGUCCUUCAACAGAGACCCAAGUCCAAACAGACCCCUUCCCACAAAUACUGGUCCUGUCCCGAAGCCCAGCAGCCCCGUCUAUCAACCCCCCGUCUAAGUCUUCUGGCAGUUCAGUAAAUCCAUCAAACGAGUCCAGAGCCAGUCUAAAUGACUAGCUCCGAAGUAAUCAAGGCCAAUCCAUCCUCGAAACCGCCAAACAAGCCCAACACAACCUGUAAACGGUAAGGGAUACCUGAGAAGGGCAGUGCAGGGACACGGCUGUUUCAUAUGUGCGUUUGGUGGACAUUAGGUUCUAGGUCCCUCCGCGCGCUCACAUACGCGGUAUGCUAGCAUGAAAGCGAGGCGCUUGUUUUGAAGACACGAGGUCAAACCAGAGAAAGAAAGCUCUUUUAAACAGCUGAAUUCUCAGCUGAAUUUCCUCCUUCAUUCCUAAAACCACAUCAAACAAAGUGUGAAGCACAUUCACAAGGCAACAUGUAUAAACUUUAUUUGUACUGUUUGGUGAGAUUCGAGAAGAAAUAUGGGUAAAACCGCUCGGCAAAUUUUACAUUUCGAAGAUGGCAUCAGCAGAAGUUGGAUUUUUCGUGAACUUCACGGCGGGAUAUGACAGGGACUCACACUUAUUCCUUCAAUUCGGUAAGUCAAGUUUGUUGUAUUUGACUAUUUAGCUUACCAAUAUGAUGUUUCUACAGGUGUACCAUUUUUUUAAAGUAAAGUUGUCUUACCUAGGAAUCCCGACAUUUAGCCUAAUUGAUAAUCGAAGGAAGCUUCGACAUUCCACUGCAUUUGUUUUGUUGUUUCAAGGGUUUCUUUUCAAGCGGAUAAAUUUUGGGAUGCUUCUUUUAUGAAACUCUGAAAACUGUUUUCACAGUACCAUCACCUGAAAUUAUUUACUUUUGACAAGCGUGAAAUAUCUGUGUAAGUUAUUUUCCAUUUUUUUGGCCAAUAUUUUUUAGGUUAUCAAUUUUCCCGCCUUUUUACGACACAUGCGUGGUACAUCCGGCGAUUUUUAUUUCGUCGUGAUACUAAAGGAAAAUGGAGGAUGAAACCCAAUUAUAUUGUUGAGGGAGAAGACACUAAGGCUAAACGCACAUAUUUGGCGGGCAGAGGCAGAAAGAAAGUAAGUUUGAUUUUGUUUGCAUUAAUUGUUUAUUUUUGCAGCUGAACUCAACCUUGUUUUGUUUUUGUAUAUUUUAGAAGGAUGACAGAAGAAAUUGAGAAGAAAAAAAAGAAGAGAGAAUGAAAUUUCGUACGUGGAUUGGUAAGUAUUUUUACUUAAUUUUAAAAUCUUAAUUUUAAGCGUUAAAACUAUGUGUUAAAAGUUCUAAAGCGCUAAAUAAAAUGAAAAAGAAAACAAAAACUUACAUACAAAAAUGAAUUAUGACUAAACUUACUUAUGGAUGAAAUUUUCAAGUAACUUAAGCUUAAGCUUAUGUUUUUUUUUAAUAUUGAUUCUGACUAUAUAUGUUGACUAGAGAAAUGUAUGUGCAUGCAUGCCACUGCUUCAGUAUUGCAAUGGGAAGAUAUAAUAUUCUGUUAAUUGCUAUUAUUAUAUUCUACCAAUAACUGUCAAAUAUGUUUACUGUAUUAUAUUUGACAUGUAAAACAUUUUUGUAUCAAGAAGUUACUGGAGAGUUUUAAGAAAAUCUUGAUUUCUAGUUGUGAUAUUUUUGCAUGUCCCUAGUCUUCCAUGCAUCUGCGUUGUUUUCGGACUGGGACAUAUGAUUUGUUUUCUGGAUGGCAUCGUCUGUGGUGCUCCUCCAUUACCCAUUUAGCACGGUGUGUGUGCAUGCACUGCACAUCAGUAUAGGAAUAUUCAACAGACUGUUCCUUCUUCUGGUUUUAUCCCUUCAAGCAAUGGACUUGGCUAUCGCUAACUCUCUUGCAAAAGGAGAUAAAAAGGUUUAAAGGAUUAUUUUUUUUUCUUAGAAAUUGUGCUUUGGUAGAACAUUCUAUACAAUACAUCAAAAAUUAUUUUAUGAGAUGUUGCAUCCCAUUUGGAGCACUAUAUAUAUUCACCAUUGGAUUUGGGAAAUAUGUUUAUCCUAAUGACAUAUACUGGUAUUAAUAAAUUCACAUGAUAGUCAAGUUACAUUUACGGAUUCAACUUGUAUGCUUUGUUUGCCCUAAGGUUGGAACUGUUGAGCUCCAAAAGUUGGUUAAUGACAAACGGAAACAGCUGCAGGUCCACUCCCCGCUAGAGGAAGCAGCUGACCUGGAAUCUAUGGCAACGUAUGCUGCUUUACAUCAAAUGCCCCUGUCUGAAACCGACGUGGAACAUCUUAUUGCCCAGGCAUUAGUCUUGCAACAACAAGCAAAAAACCUGGAGGAGGAAGUUGCAAAACUUGACACUGAUGAAGGCCCUUGUGCACAGGAGCAAAACAGAGUCUUGGAGGACAUUGGCUCUGAACGCCAGGCUUACCAUGGAGGAAGUUUUAAUGGCAAUCACACCCACAAAUGUCUUAAGGUAUGAAAAUGACACUAAAUUAUUGAAAUCUAGCAAAUUGUGACACUGUUUUGCACACCUUUUUCUUUUUUUAAAGGAAGAAAACGUGACAAAGUUAGCUGAAAUACCAGUAACCAUGGUGUCUCAGUCCCCUAUGUUUGCAUUCAUGGCCAGCCCUUGCCCUACAGGAUUGCAUGGAUGCCGUUUCAUGAUCUCAAGAUGAGUCGCAGGAUGAGGACGACUGUGACUUGGAAAAAAAAAGGAAGGAGAACAUGCAGUCACAAAAUGCAGAGCUCCUAAAAUUGGGUUUUGUAAGUAUACAUCUAUCUACAACAACUAUUUUUUUAUAUACUGAAAUUAAGUUUAAUCUCUUUUUAUUAACAGCUACCAAACAGAAAUGCAACGAUUGUUGCACUGUUUUACCUCAAAGUGGAAAAAAGGAGGAUGUACACAUGCCUAUUCUGUUAGCAGCACUUAAGUCACAAAAACUAAAAAAAAGUCAAACAAAUAAGAAUUAUUAGAAAUGCUGGGGAAGCAUCUAUUUUAAAAUGAUAUCAUAGAGAGAACCCGAGGGUAAAAAAACAGUAACUUUUUCAUUAAAAUUUCUGACUUUUUCAUAAUUGAUCAUUGAUCUUUAUGCAUUGUGGCAUCCAAAUCCAAUCUAUAUUCUUAUUGUUAAUUGUUAUAUUUUGAGAUCUGUAAACUGCAAAAAAAAUGCUUAUUUAGAUAUUUGUAUAAACAACAAGAUGUUUUUAAGCAAUGUAUAUUGUCAUACAUGUUGCUUCUGAACAAAGAAAUUAGUCAAACGCUGCAAAAACCUUUUUCAGCGAUUACUUUGCAGACUAUUUACGGGCUAUUUCCAGGGUAGCUGAAGCUCCAUUGCAUAGAUUUACAGACUGAUUACGGGCUAUUUCCAGGUUCUCUGGGCCCCCUUUAUGCACAUUUAAAGUCUAUUUCUAGGGUAGCUGUGGCUGCAUCGCAUAGAUUUCCAGGCUCUUUUCAGACUACUUUCAGGCUAUUUAAAGGGUUCUCUGGGCCCCCUUUCUGCAUAUUUAAGGACUAUUUCCUUAUGGCUUUAUAUUCUGGAUCCGAUUCUGGAUAUUUCACUUCAAGUCCUUGCGACGCCACGGAGAAGAUCUCAAGCCGUUUUGAGACCCGCCCUCCUCCCCGCAGCGAUGAAAUUAUGCUUGCUCACGGGUCAUCCUUUCGCAAUUGCCUCGGGCUCGCUUUCCCCAUAUCUUAGCCUUAUACUGAGGCAUUAUUCACGGGUUACCCUAGUGAGAAUAUCUAACUAUUUCCAUACACUGGAUAGGACACGGCUUUUCCAACAUCUCUAGCGAGGAAAAUGCUCUCCAUCCGUAGUUGGCGAAGCAUUCCCUUGGAUCGGAACUCGUGGUUGUUCUGGCGAAACACCACGCAAGCUGGCUAGAUUGCGGGAAUAGGACAGAAAACAACGGUGACUUACACAUUGAUAGUGCUUCGUCGAACUGUCUGCAACCGGUUUCAGUAGCAUCCAGUCGCCAACAAUUAGAAAUUGUAUCCCGCGAGAGGGUUUGUUGUUUUCGCGAACCCAGGUAGCGAUGGCGUGAAACAAUCCCAACAAUCGUGCACUGCUAAUCGAGCACGUCUCAAAUGACACAUUUUACAUCCCUCAAACGCUUUUGAACUAGAGAAUCACUGUAGGCCAUGUUUACUACGAAUGAACUGUUAUAGGCCUGUUAUGAAGUUCUGCGUUGCCCUUGAAAACUUCACAAGCCAUUCCAGUGGAGCACAUUAUUUGAAUGUUACAUCCCUCUCCAUAAAA